rnacentral:rRNA from 1 species
GAUGAACGCUGGCGGCGUGCCUAAUACAUGCGAGUCGAGCGAACGGACGAGAAGCUUGCUUCUCUGAUGUUAGCGGCGGACGGGUGAGUAACACGUGGAUAACCUACCUAUAAGACUGGGAUAACUUCGGGAAACCGGAGCUAAUACCGGAUAAUAUUUUGAACCGCAUGGUUCAAAAGUGAAAGACGGUCUUGCUGUCACUUAUAGAUGGAUCCGCGCUGCAUUAGCUAGUUGGUAAGGUAACGGCUUACCAAGGCAACGAUGCAUAGCCGACCUGAGAGGGUGAUCGGCCACACUGGAACUGAGACACGGUCCAGACUCCUACGGGAGGCAGCAGUAGGGAAUCUUCCGCAAUGGGCGAAAGCCUGACGGAGCAACGCCGCGUGAGUGAUGAAGGUCUUCGGAUCGUAAAACUCUGUUAUUAGGGAAGAACAUAUGUGUAUGUAACUGUGCACAUCUUGACGGUACCUAAUCAGAAAGCCACGGCUAACUACGUG